rnacentral:rRNA from 1 species
UAGGGAAUCUUCGGCAAUGGACGAAAGUCUGACCGAGCAACGCCGCGUGAGUGAAGAAGGUUUUCGGAUCGUAAAACUCUGUUGUUAGAGAAGAACAAGGACGUUAGUAACUGAACGUCCCCUGACGGUAUCUAACCAGAAAGCCACGGCUAACUACGUGCCAGCAGCCGCGGUAAUACGUAGGUGGCAAGCGUUGUCCGGAUUUAUUGGGCGUAAAGCGAGCGCAGGCGGUUUCUUAAGUCUGAUGUGAAAGCCCCCGGCUCAACCGGGGAGGGUCAUUGGAAACUGGGAGACUUGAGUGCAGAAGAGGAGAGUGGAAUUCCAUGUGUAGCGGUGAAAUGCGUAGAUAUCUGGAGGAACACCAGUGACGAAGGCGGCUCUCUGGUCUGUAACUGACGCUGAGGCUCGAAAGCGUGGGGAGCAAACAGG